GGGCUGAUCAACAAGGCAGGGCUCCCCUACCACUCUCUGGGGACCCGAGCCCAACUGCAACGCGCAGGCCAGUGGGCCCCUGGCGUGGGUUGGCGUGUGCGUUCCUGUUAACCAGAGCCAAACCCCACGGAAGAGACUCCACGGUCUGCUCACCAGAUGGGACGGGAAGGAGGCGGGAGCUGGCGCAGAGAUCAUUCGCAAGGCAUUUACUCUGCCUGCCUGUGGAACCUGGGCCCGAUCCUCCUCGCACCCAGCCGAGUGUGCACCAGCAGGUGUAACUCCCGGAAAUCAACGCGAGCGAGCGGCCACCGGUCUAGACCUGGGGAAGUGAGAGGAGACUCCAGCCCAGUGCCUCAUAGACCAGCCGCUGAGAGGCUUGAAGAACUGAGGUGGGUGAAGGUCAGGGGAGCUGCAUUUGCUGGAG